ensembl:lncRNA LINC01015 long intergenic non-protein coding RNA 1015
AUCUCAGGAGUAGGCUCUGAUUCCUUGGGGCCCCAGGAGCCUCUCAGGAGUCUACAUCCCAAGAUGUUCUAACUUCCAGAGUCUCCAAGCCCAUCAAGAGCAAGUUUUGCUAAAAGUGUUCUGAGAGCUUAUGAAGCACAUGGUGAGUGGUCAGUCCCUCAGCUCUUCCCCAGAGGCCCUGGGUCCCAUGGGGUUAGCAGGGACAGGGGAAGCCUGGGGCUGGUGAGAGGCCAACUUCCAGCCAGGGCUUGAUCUGGUUUUCAAUGGAUUCAAAGUUUGGCCUCCUUUUCCUUACCUGGAGGGGACAGAGGCACUGGGACCAGGCCAAGCUCUGGCUGAGCCAGGGCUAGGGGAAGUACAUCCACUGGGGGCCCAUGCCAUGGGGAGGUGUUGGGGCACAGCCACCACUGUUCUACCUCUUGGGGAAGGGUCUGCAGUGGGGUCUGGAAUACAGAGGUUUUCACGGAAGCCCAGGGGACCCUGAACACUUCUAUUCCUUCUAUCAGGACAAGGAAGGGUUGUGCAUCCGGCUUUCCACCUUAAACUGGUUUCUAUGGUGCUUCAUCGAUGAGAUAAGGAUGCAUAGGAGACCCCAGGCCAGGUACCUCCUUUCCCCACAGUGCUCAGCUCCCCCAGCCCAGGGGUCUGGCUUCCCCAGGAGGACCCAGCUCACCCCCACCCCACAGGAGGCACAGGCAGGUCUCUGCAGGGCACACAAGCCAGGACCUGUAUGAUGGGAGCUUUACACACCAGACACCAGGGAAUUCUGGGCAGACUGGGCCAAGACCCAUCUUGGAAGAGCCAAAGGAGCCAGGGAAGCCACAAGCCCUCAGGAAGCCCCUUAUUCUGGGAACCACAUUUCUGCUGAGAUGAGUCCAUCCCCAUGAAGAGCUGCCGGACCUUGUCUGACCCAGCCUUAUGGAAGAUUGGGUGGGUCUCUUCCCAAGCAGAGGGAGCCUCAGGAAGUCCAGACUGAGGCUACAGUGGGCCCUGCUCAAGCCACCAGCCCCGAGGUUGGAAAGGCCAGGUCCUCCCACACCUGCUGUUCCCACAGACUUCCUUCAUGCUCAUCCUGUGGCUCUGGGAUGUCUACCUACUGGGAGGUGAGUGUGUGGUGACAACUAUGGUAUACAUGGCCUUCACAGCCACAGAAUUAAGUCCCUGGGUGGCCAAUGGUGCCCAGAAGGAGCAUGCAGGACAGACCCUGGGACCUAUAGCCAGGACAGAUUCCUGGCUUCUGGUGUGUGAUGACCUGAGAGCAGCAUCCACACUGUCCAGAUGGCUCUCUGCUCCAGCCUGGAGGUAGGGCCAGACCAGGCCUGGUGGGCUGGGCAGGGAGUGGACCCAGGUACCAAACCCACUCCUGACACAACCCAGAUGAAAGGCAAGAGUGUGUUGAGCACUUCCCUGCCCAGGCCUUCCUCCAGCUGUGGUUUUCUGUGAACAUCUGGACCCCUGGGGCAGCCACAGUAGGAUCCAGCACCGCCCAGUGGUGGGUGCCUGGGGCAGGAACAAGGUGCAGACACUGACUCUCCCACAGACCCCUCCCAGCCUCAUAGUCACCCUGUCCCUAGAACACCCCCUGAAGCUGUUCCUGUUUGGCUUGCAGGAGUUCCUUCAGGACACACUGUCCUAGGCCUGGGCCCUGGAGGAGGACAUGGUGAUGAGGCACCCUGAGGCCUCCAUGGGGGAACUGAGAAGCAUGCACUGUGACCUGCACACCCAGGUGGGCUUCAGCACCAAGUCUCCUCCUGUGUCACCCUGCGGGGCAGUAAAUAGUGGGAAGUGCCCAGACCUCACCAGCCCUGCUCCCUGGGCCUUCCUCCAGCCCCUCCUCUCCCUCCUCCUCUAAGAAGCUUCUGAAACCAGGCUGCCUGAGCCUAGGGCAAAAGCUGACCUUGGGUUUACUGGACAUGCCUCAGAGACAAUGAGACGUGAGCAAGACUCUUCCAAGCCCCUCCCCUGUACCCUCCUGCUCUCACUCCUGAAAGCCCCAGAAGGACACUGGAGGGGUCAGAUCCAUCUGUGCAAGCCCACAACCACACCUGUGAGUACCAGCAGCCCUGGAGAGCAGCAGGGGGCCUUCACUCCUGAGCACCCCUCCAAGGGCCUAAAAUCAGUGUCAGAGACCCUAAGAGAAUCUAGGGAGAGGGCAUAGGUGAAACCCUGGCCCAGAGCCAGAAUUGAUUGCUCAGCUGAGUGUGGGAACAGUCCAGCCCUGGCAUGGAGAUCCCCCAGAGGAGUGGAGGGUGUCUCAUCCACUGUGGAGAUAAGCCCCCAUAUUGCGUGGCAAAGGGGCUAGGUAACAGUUAAGGCCUCAUCCAUCUGAGCUCUGAAUCAAGGCUAAAGCCCAGGCUAAGCAGCCCUGGGGCAAGAGUGUGAGGCAGGAAGACUGAGUCAGCCUGAACCCUGGGGGCUGUCCCUGGAGUGACUUGAGCUUCCCUGACAGCUUCCCCACUCUAGGCUGCACACACACCUCGCUCUGGGAGUAGCAGCCUGCAGGAGUGUCCUCAGCAUUAGACCAGGGGGACCACACGGGGACCCUGAGGACUGCAGGGACCCAGGUCUGUGGGGUCCAGCCUGGCAAAAGCAAGAUGUUCUCAAUGGAAAAGCUGACCAAAUCUGCUUUCCUUUCAGCCAAACCUGAGCAAGCACCCCCACCACCCAGGCCUCUGCAGAUAUCCCCCAGCAUUGAGACCCUCCCCAAGGGGAUGGGCUGCUUCUCCCUGGCCCACAGCCCAGCUCCAGCAGCCCAUGGGUAUAGCCCUCCUGAAACAGGAGCCUCAUCCUCCCUCACCCUCACCUGGCUAUGCUGUACCCAAGGCCAAAGCCCAGAGGCAUAAGGGAGCUUCUGCAGAGCCCAGGACAGCAGGCUGCUCUCUGGGGGCCCUGGGGACUCAGAGUGUGGCCAGCCCAUCCCCAGCUCAGGAUAGACCACAGAGUGCUUGGUGAUUCCUGCAUUGGAACUCCCUCUCUAAGCUCCCCAUGGACCUGGACCUCAGAGGCCUGUGGUUUUCACAGUAGAGCUUGGAGCAGAGAUGCUAGGCCCCUAUCACUUCCAUAUGUGUCCUGGACACCUCUAAGAUCAUAGGACUGGCCUAGCCCCCAAUACCAGACACUGCCCAGCCCCCUGAUAGCCCAGAGGUAGGGCCAGAGACAACUCUCCUGCAUGUGAUGCCUACAGCUGAUCACUCUUGGCAGACAGUGAACAUCACGGCCCAGAAGGAGCCAGGGCAGCACUUGGCAAGCUGCCCCAAAGCCCCAGAGAGCUCCUUAGACAUGGAAAGUCAAUACUGAUGGGGAAGCUGGACACUUGGAGGCCACUGGAGGGAGGGGUGAGCAUGGUGUCCCCACAGCCCAGGCCACCCAGCAGCAUGCCCUGCAUCCAUGGUCCCAACCUGUAGGGCAGAACCCCCCUCUCAACGCACAAUUCCUAGACCCAGAGGGCCCUAGCCCAGACUCAACCUGAGCCCUGAAAGGGAAGGGGCACCAGGGGUGCCUUGGGGCCUCCAGCAGCAGCCAAGAUACACAGGAGAUGGAGCCCCCUGUGGCCCUGGCCAGAACUAGUAUUUGGCUUAAGGCGGAGCAAGCCCCCUUGGAGCACUGCGUACAUACCCGGGGCCUAUGUGUGCCUGGCAAGGCCAAGCUGAUGAUGUUACCAAGCUCAAACUACCACUGGCCACCUUGGUGAGGGUGGGGCAGAAACACGUGGACCAGCCACCAACCUCAUCCAUUCAAGGAAGCAGAAAUGGUCAGGCUCCUGCAGGAUAAGUGGCCACCACCAGACCACCAAUGGGGCAGAGUUCUGAGGCCCAAGCAGAUGGCACUGGGGCCCUGCUUCCAGGGUCCACAAUCUGCUCCAGGACACAAGACUGAAGAAAACUAAGCAAAUGAGAGUCCAGGAGGCUGGAUCCCUCAUCUGCCAUUCUUGGCAGUUGCAUUUUGUGGUCAGAAAAAGUCAGGAAACUUGGCUCUACUCACUGCAGGAGGCUCCAAGGUGGGACCAGAGCUUCCAGCAUAGAUUCAACAAUGCCUAAGAAUGCCUCUUCUUGGGGAAAAGGACCCCUUCCUUGGCCUCAAAGCCCCCACUUAUUUUGAUUAAAGCACAAUAAAGUCUU